rnacentral:rRNA from 1 species
GACGAACGCUGGCGGCGUGCCUAAUACAUGCAAGUAGAACGCUGAAGGAGGAGCUUGCUUCUCCGGAUGAGUUGCGAACGGGUGAGUAACGCGUAGGUAACCUGCCUGGUAGCGGGGGAUAACUAUUGGAAACGAUAGCUAAUACCGCAUAACAGUAGAUGUUGCAUGAGAUUUGCUUAAAAGGUGCAAUUGCAUCACUACCAGAUGGAGCUGCGUUGUAUUAGUUAGUUGGUGAGGUAACGGCUCACCAAGGCGACGAUACAUAGCCGGCCGGAGGGGGGUGUCGGCCAACCUGGGACUUGGACCCCGCCCAAACUCCUACGGGAGGCAGCCGGAGGGGAUCCUCGGCCAUGGGCGGAAGGCUUACCGAGCCACGCCGCGGUAAGGGAUAAGGGUCUCGGGUCCGUAAGCUCCGUUGUAAGGGAAGAAAGAGUGGGGUAGUUAAAAGUUCACACUGUGACGGUAUCUUACCAGAAAGGGACGGCUAACUACGUG